rnacentral:ncRNA from 1 species
UAGAUAGAGGCGCGAUUUCUCAUCAGUAUCCGACGGGUGCAACAAAGACGUUCGCAGCGUUUUCCGUAGGAAAAAGGGAGAGUCGCCGAAGGUGUCAGGCGAACGACAUUCUGGGCGCACGGAAUAAGAGACGUGCGACUGUCGCAGUUCUUGCGGAGUGCUAUUAU